ACCAUCAAUACAAGGUAAUGUUUAAUCAUUUGGGCAGCUCCUAUCCUUUCAAAGUUGUUUUAAUCAAUUGGUUGGGUUUUACUGUGCAUCAUAUCUUCCGUCAUUCAGACCACCUUACCAUCAUCAGUGGCCAAUUGGUUCUGCCAACACAAACAGGUGGCACGGAACAGGCGAUGAUGCAACACCUCUGGGCAUUGUCCGACAGGACAGGCCUUCAACCCCUGGAAUCGAUAUCAUUCC